AACAAGGGGGCUUCUCUUAUAGC
rnacentral:siRNA from 1 species